AGGGCGUAUGGGGAAUGCCUAGGCACACUCCGGCGAAGAAGGACGCAGCAAACAGCGAAAUGCGACGGUGAGCGGUAAGCACGUGAAGAGCCGUCGAUAUCCGAAUGGGGGAACCCACACGGAGUCAUAUCCGUGUAUCACAUGUCGAAUACAUAGACAUGAUGAGGCGAGACGCAGGGAACUGAAACAUCUAAGUACCUGCAGGAAGAGAAAAUAAGAAUGAUUUUCUGAGUAGCGGCGAGCGAAAGGGAAAGAGCCCAAACCGAUUUGAGGAUCGGGGUAGUAGGAUCAUCGAUAAAUCAAACAGAGGAUCAUAGAGGAAUCACAUGGGAAGGUGAGCGAGAGAGGGUGAGAGCCCCGUACUCGAAAUGAGAGACUGGAGAGAGAUGACACCUGAGUAGGGCGGGACACGAGAAAUCCUGUCUGAAUCAGCCGGGACCAUCCGGCAAGGCUAAAUACGAGAGAGUGACCGAUAGUGAACCAGUACCGUGAGGGAAAGGUGAAAAGAACCCCGGGAGGGGAGUGAAAGAGAACCUGAAACCAUAUGCCUACAAGAAGUCAGAGCCCGUUAAAGGGUGAUGGCGUGCCUUUUGUAGAAUGAACCGGCGAGUUACUGUAUGGAGCGAGGUUAAGCAGGAUAUGCGGAGCCGAAGCGAAAGCGAGUCUUAAGAGGGCGCGAGUUGCAUGCAGUAGACCCGAAACCGGGUGAUCUAGCCAUGACCAGGUUGAAGUUGGGGUAAAACCCGAUGGAGGACCGAACCGACCCCCGUUGAAACGUUGGCGGAUGAGUUGUGGCUAGGGGUGAAAUUCCAAUCGAACCCGGAGAUAGCUGGUUCUCCCCGAAAUAGCUUUAGGGCUAGCGUCGAGAGAAGAGUUGCGUGAAGGUAGAGCACUGAAUAUGUGAUGGCCCCAUCUCGGGGUACUGAGCAUAAUCAAACUGCGAAUGUCACGCCAACAUGCUCGGCAGUCAGACAGCGGGUGAUAAGGUCCGUUGUCAAGAGGGAAACAGCCCAGACCAUCAGCUAAGGUCCCAAAAUGUAUGCUAAGUGGAAAAGGAUGUGGAGAUGUACAGACAACUAGGAGGUUGGCUCAGAAGCAGCCAUCCUUUAAAGAGUGCGUAACAGCUCACUAGUCGAAUGACUCUGCGCCGAUAAUUUACCGGGGCUAAGCAUACUACCGAAGCUAUGGAUCCCAAGGGAUGGUAGGGGAGCGUUCCAUGAACGGAGAAGUACGACCGAAAGGACGUGUGGAGAUCAUGGAAGAGAGAAUGCCGGUGUGAGUAGCGGAACGUGGGUGAGAAUCCCACGCACCGAAAACCCAAGGUUUCCAGAGGAAGGUUCGUCCGCUCUGGGUAAGUCGGGACCUAAGGCGAGGCCGAAAGGCGUAGUCGAUGGACAACAGGUAGAGAUUCCUGUACCCGUAUAUAUGUGAAGGAAUGACGGAGAGAGGAAGCUGCAGCCAGCGGCUGGAAGAGCUGGUGCAAGCGAGAUAUCGGGAUGGCAGGCAAAUCCACCAUCCGAAACGAGAAGGCGUGAAGCGUACGGAAAGCUACGGCGAGUACGGAAGGCAGUGGAGGAACUUCCAAGAAAAGUUUCUAACGUUAAGUAUAUAUGGCCCGUACCGAAAAUGGACACACAUGGGUGAGGAGAGAAUCCUAAGGUGAGCGAGAGAACUAUAGCUAAGGAACUCUGCAAAAUGACUCCGUAACUUAGGGAGAAGGAGUGCUCAUAGAGAUAUGAGCCGCAGUGAAACGGCCCAAGCGACUGUUUACCAAAAACACAGCUCUCUGCUAAGCCGCAAGGCGAAGUAUAGGGGGUGACGCCUGCCCGGUGCUGGAAGGUUAAGGGGAGGGGUUAACGCAAGUGAAGCCCUGAACUGAAGCCCCAGUAAACGGCGGCCGUAACUAUAACGGUCCUAAGGUAGCGAAAUUCCUUGUCAGGUAAGUUCUGACCCGCACGAAAGGUGUAACGAUUUGAGCACUGUCUCGACAACACGCCCGGUGAAAUUGAAGAACCAGUGAAGAUACUGGUUACCCGCAACAGGACGGAAAGACCCCAUGGAGCUUUACUGCAGCUUAAUAUUGGGAUUCGGUAUUGUAUGUACAGGAUAGGAGGGAGACUAAGAAGCUAGCACGCCAGUGUUGGUGGAGUCGAUGGUGGGAUACCUCUCUUAUAAUACUGAAUUUCUAACCUACUUCCGUGAUCCGGAAGAGGGACAUUGUUAGGCGGGCAGUUUGACUGGGGCGGUCGCCUCCGAAAGAGUAACGGAGGCGCUCAAAGGUCUUCUCAGAAUGAUUGGAAACCAUUCAAAGAGUGUAAAGGCAAAAGAAGGCUUGACUGCGAGAGUGACAACUCGAGCAGGUACGAAAGUAGGACUUAGUGAUCCGGUGGUAACAAGUGGGAGUGCCAUCGCUUAACGGAUAAAAGCUACCCUGGGGAUAACAGGCUUAUCUCCCCCAAGAGUUCACAUCGACGGGGAGGUUUGGCACCUCGAUGUCGGCUCAUCGCAUCCUGGGGCUG
rnacentral:rRNA from 1 species